rnacentral:misc_RNA from 1 species
UUUCCGUAGGUGAACCUGCGGAAGGAUCAUUAUCGUACAAAAUGUGAGGGGCAUGCGAGGGCUGUCGCUGACCCAAAAGUCGUGCACGCCCGAGUGUGUCCUCUUGCAUAAUAAUCCAUCUCACCCUUUGUGCAUCACCGCGUGGGUCCCCCUUUGGCUUGUUCGGAGGGGGGCUUACGUUUUCACACAAACUUUGUAUGCAGUGUAGAAUGUAUUUUUUGUUUUUGCGAUCACGCAAUCAAUACAACUUUCAACAACGGAUCUCUUGGCUCUC